CGCGGUAAUACCAGCUCUCCGAGUGGUGGGGAUGAUUAUUGGGCUUAAAGCGUCCGUAGCCGGCUUAACAAGUCUUCCGUUAAAUCCAACGAUCUAAUCGUUGGGCUGCGGGAGAUACUGUUGGGCUAGGAGGCGGGAGAAGCCGACGGUAUUCUCGGGGUAGGGGUGAAAUCCUAUAAUCCCGGGAGGACCACCAGUGGCGAAGGCGGUCGGCUAGAACGCGCUCGACGGUGAGGGACGAAAGCUGGGGGAGCGAACCGGAUUAGAUACCCGGAUAGUCCCAGCUGUAAACGAUGCGGGCUAGGUGUUGGGGUGGCCACGAGCCACUUCAGUGCCGCAUGGAAGCCAUUAAGCCCGCCGCCUGGGGAGUACGGCCGCAAG
rnacentral:rRNA from 1 species